GUGCUCAUCGGAGAUUCCCAAUAAAUUGGUUGCUGAGUAACCUGUGUACAUAAAUAUAAAUGUUGAAGCUGCGAAAUCUUGAAACCUUUUCCAAACGUCUGAGACUACAACCAGAAAACAUCUGAACUAUUUCUAAACAACCUCAAGGAUAAAGUGGGGAAUAAACUAUUUUACUUCUCGGAUUCUUGAUCAUAAAGAUAUUCUAAAGAAUAGUUUGGAUUAUUUUUAGCAAGCUGUCAACGCCGACUAAAGAAACUCCCCUAAUGAGCUAAUGGAUACAGAGAUCUUGAUGAGGAGGAAAAACACGAAAAAAAGAGCGAUCAUAAUUUCUUUUAAAACAAAAGUUCGAUAAUGCGUGUUGAGUUUAUCGACUCUAGACGCUGUAUCUACAGGAUAUGUAGUUUUACAUCUGGGCAAAAUUCUGCUUUGAAGUGGUGUUGUUUUUAACGGUACACUAUCACUUGAUCUAGUACACUUCUACUAGGUGCCUAGCCAAGUAGCGCACUGCAACGGAUUCAGUUUUGAAACAAACAGUUCAUACGAACGUGCUUUUGUCUAAAGAAAUUUCUGUGUUUUGUUGCUGUCGGGUAGCAGAUGUUUCUCUUGUUUCAAACAUGCGCUCCGCUGAGAACAAACAGCAGUAGCGCACUGAGUUCCUAGGACGCUGGGCGGUGAGGCUGAUCGACCCCCCUCUGCUCCAUGUUGACGAGCACGCCCCUGUCGAUACUGAGUUUUAUCAUGGAGAGCGUGCAGCAGCUGGAUCCGACCCUGCUGGCAUUCUGGGAGGGGUUCCCCUGCCCCCCACCGUGGAAGAAGGAGCUCUUGUUCAGACUGAACUUCACUAGUUGCGUCAACGCCGAGGUGGGCGAGAGGGUGAAACUCUACAUGGCCGACAAGUGUAACAUCCGGAGGCUGGGGGAGGACGACAAGGAGGCGGGAGGGACCGCGGGAGGGGUGAUGGUGGAGGACGAGUGUGCCCUGACCUGCCAGGCCAUCAUCGGUGUGGUCAGCAUCAUCUUCCUGGUCCUUCUCCUUGUUGUCAUAGUCCUUUGUGUCCGAAGGUAAGUCUUAUUGUAACAUCAUGGUUUUUUUUCUUCAAUAAUUGAAACAAUGAAUAACAACUACCAGUGGCGUCGCUAGGAGGGGUUACAAAGGAUGUGGGCCUCACAGGUGACACUCAUCAGAGGAGUAAUACCAACGUGGACAAAAAAAAAAGCUUUUCAUACAAUUUUUCAAUUAGCAAUAUUCCUCAUCUCAGGUUUAGAUAAUGAAGAUAACUUUUAUAAGGCAAAGUUAUUUUUAAUAGAUGAUUUGGGGAUGACACCAUUAUCUAACAAACUCGUGUGAUACUAACCCUAGUGACGCCACUGACUACUGCCAUGUUAUGUAGCGAUAUUGAUUACUGUUCAAG
rnacentral:sRNA from 1 species